CCUACGGGUGACAGCAGUGAGGAAUCUUGGUCAAUGGACGAGAGUCUGAACCAGCCAAGUAGCGUGAAGGAUGACUGCCCUAUGGGUUGUAAACUUCUUUUAUAUGGGAAUAAAAUGUUCCACGUGUGUGAUUUUGUAUGUACCAUAUGAAUAAGGAUAGGCUAACUCCGUGCCAGCAGCCGCGCUAAGACGGAGGAUCCGAGCGUUAUCCGGAUUGAUUGGGUUUAAGGGGAGCGUAGGUGGAUUGUUAAGUCAGUUGUGAAAGUUUGCGGCUCAACCGUAAAAUUGCAGUUGAAACUGGCAGUCUUGAGUACAGUAGAGGUGAGCGGAAUUCGUGGUGUAGCGGUGAAAUGCUUAGAUAUCACGAAGAACUCCGAUUGCGAAGGCAGUUCACUGGACUGCAACUGACACUGAGGCUCGAAAGUGUGGGUAUCAAACAGGAUUAGAUACCCGGGUAGUC
rnacentral:rRNA from 1 species